rnacentral:rRNA from 1 species
UACGGAGGGUGCAAGCGUUGUCCGGAUUUAUUGGGUUUAAAGGGUGCGUAGGCGGCUGUUUAAGUCAGCGGUGAAAGACUCCGGCUCAACCGGGGCAGUGCCGUUGAUACUGGACAGCUUGAGUGCUGCAGGGGUACAUGGAAUUGAUGAUGUAGCGGUGAAAUGCAUAGAUAUCAUCAGGAACACCGAUAGCGAAGGCAUUGUACUGGGCAGCAACUGACGCUGAGGCACGAAAGUGUGGGGAU